rnacentral:rRNA from 1 species
CGAACGGGUGAGUAAUGCGUGACCAACCUGCCCCAUGCUCCAGAUAGCUCUUGGAAACGGGUGGUAAUGCUGGAUGCUCCAACUUGACGCAUGUCUUGUUGGGAAAGUGUUUAGUGGCAUGGGAUGGGGUCGCGUCCUAUCAGCUUGUAGGCGGGGUAAUGGCCCACCUAGGCUUCGACGGGUAGCCGGCCUGAGAGGGCGGACGGCCACAUUGGGACUGAGAUACGGCCCAGACUCCUACGGGAGGCAGCAGC